rnacentral:rRNA from 1 species
UAAGCUCUCUAGCGCCGAUGGUAGUUGGGACCUUGUCCCUGUGAGAGUAGGACGUCGCCAAGCAAAAACCUAAGUCGAUUCGACUUAGGUUUUUUUGUGUUUAUUUUUAUUUGCCAAAUGUCAUAAUCCAUAGAUUUAAUAAUCCUAAAGAAGAAAAAAGAAUGAAAACGAAGCUAUUCAAAGUAAUAGCAACGAUUUUUUGUUUUCCGGAUUUUCCGAGUGCUCCUAAAAUAAUCCCUAUGAUAGGAAAUGUUAUUUCUACUACAAGUAUGUAUUUUAAAUAAUGAGAGUAAAAAAAGUGGGAUGAUAUAAAUAAGUAUUCAAUUAUAACAGCAACGAUUGCGAUGCAAAGAAAUAAAUAUGAAAAGAAUGUAGUUAUUUUUUUCAUUAGUGUUCUCCUUAUAAAUAAAAUGAAUAUAAACGAUAUGCUUUAUAUGAAAACAUGCGGAAUUAGUAUACAAACCGUUAUGUGUACAAUAGAUCUCUAGAAAUAUAUAUUCUAAUUACUUAUCUCUCUUGCAUAUAGUUACAAUUAUUCUUUUGAAUAUAACUAAAACACGAACGUUAUGAGUUGCUAAUAAAAAAACAUUCGAUUAUUUGUUGACAUUGUUUAUGAAAUAUUGUUAAUAUAGCCAUAGAAACAAUAAUAUAUAAGACCUCAUAUAAUCGCGGGGAUAUGGCCUGCAAGUCUCUACCUAACGACCGUUAUUCGUUAGACUAUGAGGGAAAGUCACUCGGUAUUUUUCUAUUCACAAGGGAUACNCCCGUUAACGGGUGAUGGCGUGCCUUUUGUAGAAUGAACCGGCGAGUUACGAUCCCGUGCGAGGUUAAGCUGAAGAGGCGGAGCCGCAGCGAAAGCGAGUCUGAAUAGGGCGUUUAGUACGUGGUCGUAGACCCGAAACCAGGUGAUCUACCCAUGUCCAGGGUGAAGUUCAGGUAACACUGAAUGGAGGCCCGAACCCACGCACGUUGAAAAGUGCGGGGAUGAGGUGUGGGUAGCGGAGAAAUUCCAAUCGAACCUGGAGAUAGCUGGUUCUCCCCGAAAUAGCUUUAGGGCUAGCCUUAAGUGUAAGAGUCUUGGAGGUAGAGCACUGAUUGGACUAGGGGUCCUCAUCGGAUUACCGAAUUCAGUCAAACUCCGAAUGCCAAUGACUUAUCCUUAGGAGUCAGACUGCGAGUGAUAAGAUCCGUAGUCAAAAGGGAAACAGCCCAGACCGCCAGCUAAGGUCCCAAAGUGUGUAUUAAGUGGAAAAGGAUGUGGAGUUGCUUAGACAACUAGGAUGUUGGCUUAGAAGCAGCCACCAUUUAAAGAGUGCGUAAUAGCUCACUAGUCGAGUGACUCUGCGCCGAAAAUGUACCGGGGCUAAAUACACCACCGAAGCUGCGGAUUGAUACCAAUGGUAUCAGUGGUAGGGGAGCGUUCUAAGGACAGUGAAGUCAGACCGGAAGGACUGGUGGAGUGCUUAGAAGUGAGAAUGCCGGUAUGAGUAGCGAAAGACGGGUGAGAAUCCCGUCCACCGAAUGCCUAAGGUUUCCUGAGGAAGGCUCGUCCGCUCAGGGUUAGUCAGGACCUAAGCCGAGGCCGACAGGCGUAGGCGAUGGACAACAGGUUGAUAUUCCUGUACCACCUCUUUAUCGUUUGAGCAAUGGAGGGACGCAGAAGGAUAGAAGAAGCGUGCGAUUGGUUGUGCACGUCCAAGCAGUUAGGCUGAUAAGUAGGCAAAUCCGCUUAUCGUAAAGGCUGAGCUGUGAUGGGGAAGCUCCUUAUGGAGCGAAGUCUUUGAUUCCCCGCUGCCAAGAAAAGCUUCUAGCGAGAUAAAAGGUGCCUGUACCGCAAACCGACACAGGUAGGCGAGGAGAGAAUCCUAAGGUGUGCGAGAGAACUCUGGUUAAGGAACUCGGCAAAAUGACCCCGUAACUUCGGGAGAAGGGGUGCUUUCUUAACGGAAAGCCGCAGUGAAUAGGCCCAAGCGACUGUUUAGCAAAAACACAGCUCUCUGCGAAGCCGUAAGGCGAAGUAUAGGGGGUGACACCUGCCCGGUGCUGGAAGGUUAAGGAGAGGGGUUAGCGUAAGCGAAGCUCUGAACUGAAGCCCCAGUAAACGGCGGCCGUAACUAUAACGGUCCUAAGGUAGCGAAAUUCCUUGUCGGGUAAGUUCCGACCCGCACGAAAGGUGUAACGAUUUGGGCACUGUCUCAACCAGAGACUCGGUGAAAUUAUAGUACCUGUGAAGAUGCAGGUUACCCGCGACAGGACGGAAAGACCCCGUGGAGCUUUACUGUAGCCUGAUAUUGAAUUUUGGUACAGUUUGUACAGGAUAGGCGGGAGCCUUUGAAACCGGAGCGCUAGCUUCGGUGGAGGCGCUGGUGGGAUACCGCCCUGACUGUAUUGAAAUUCUAACCUACGGGUCUUAUCGACCCGGGAGACAGUGUCAGGUGGGCAGUUUGACUGGGGCGGUCGCCUCCUAAAGUGUAACGGAGGCGCCCAAAGGUUCCCUCAGAAUGGUUGGAAAUCAUUCGUAGAGUGCAAAGGCAUAAGGGAGCUUGACUGCGAGACCUACAAGUCGAGCAGGGACGAAAGUCGGGCUUAGUGAUCCGGUGGUUCCGCAUGGAAGGGCCAUCGCUCAACGGAUAAAAGCUACCCCGGGGAUAACAGGCUUAUCUCCCCCAAGAGUCCACAUCGACGGGGAGGUUUGGCACCUCGAUGUCGGCUCAUCGCAUCCUGGGGCUGUAGUCGGUCCCAAGGGUUGGGCUGUUCGCCCAUUAAAGCGGUACGCGAGCUGGGUUCAGAACGUCGUGAGACAGUUCGGUCCCUAUCCGUCGUGGGCGUAGGAAAUUUGAGAGGAGCUGUCCUUAGUACGAGAGGACCGGGAUGGACGCACCGCUGGUGUACCAGUUGUUCUGCCAAGGGCAUAGCUGGGUAGCUAUGUGCGGAAGGGAUAAGUGCUGAAAGCAUCUAAGCAUGAAGCCCCCCUCAAGAUGAGAUUUCCCAUAGCGUAAGCUAGUAAGAUCCCUGAAAGAUGAUCAGGUUGAUAGGUUCGAGGUGGAAGCAUGGUGACAUGUGGAGCUGACGAAUACUAAUAGAUCGAGGACUUAACCAU